rnacentral:lncRNA from 1 species
UUUUGCUGUUAAUGCACAAAGGGGCGGUAUGUAACGUUAACAGCGUAAUGUUAUGGGCAUUGCUAAGGCUAACAGUGGAGCCAAUAUAAAUUAACAUACUCGUAUGUUAAUGGAUUAACAGCGAUUGUGCUGUAUGUUAUAUACCAUACUGUGACUGCUGUUAUUAUUGGUCGUUGUGCAUCUAUUUUUUUUUUUUAAGUCAUAAUGCUUUUCUUAUUAGAAAAGCUCAACUGGAAAAUCGAUUUAAUUUCUUUCAACGAAUUGCCAAAAUUAAGUGAUGAAAAAUAGAUAUAACUAUUAUAAAAAUACCUAAAAUAUAUCUAUAUAUACCCAAAACUAUUUUGAAAUGUUUAAGUACUUUAAAAUUUUAUGGAAAUAAUUUACAGAAAAAUUGUUCCAAACAUCGCCGUACCUUACGAUUUAUAGGCGAAGUUUAUUGAAAUUGAAGCAUGUCAAACUUUUAGAGAGCUUUUAAGACAAAUAAUUGAGCUUUUACAGUAUUUUAAGUGUUUGGAGGUUAGGUCAGAAAUUAGAGAAUCAGAAAGCCUACAUAUUUCUAACAAUUGUCUGUGGUUUAGAAUCUUUUAUUUUUUAUCGAGUAACCUUAUAAAAAUACGAAUGUCACAGACUGCCGAAUUUAGAAGCAAAAAUGUUGGUAUAGGAAAAUGAAUCAUGUGAAAAGGGUACUUGUUAGUAAGAUCAUUCUUUCUUUAUCUUACUCAAAAGUAACUUCAUUGUUGCUAGAACUGUAAAUAUGCCUGCAUUUAGGAGAGUAUUUAAGUAGAAAAGCUCCUCUAUCAAUCUAAAAAGAUUCAAGUUCCAAACCUUUCAUUGCUAUAGUUCCUCUAGAUCAUUAUUUUCUGGAAAAAUAUUUGUUAUUAGCUUCACUGAAGGGUUAGGUAAAUCAUUUCAUAGUUUCCAAAUUUUGUAGUAUACAAACUUUUAUAAUUGUGAAAAAUUUGAAAUUCUCUUCGAGCAUAAGCUCCAGCAACUACAGACUUAGUAUCUUUUUUCUAUACUAUUUUCUAGGAGAAUGCGUUCAAAUUCUUAUACAGAGGCUAUAAAAUACAAAUAUGUAUGUAUGUAUGUUAUCCAAAGGGCAAAUCCACAUCAUUUUCCUACUUCAUGAGUCACUCAGGCCAAAUACAAAACAAAAAUACCACUAAAAGCUAAAUAUAGGCUUUAAAAGUCACGCAAUGAUAAGCUAAACCGCUAAAACUAAUCCAGAGCUAAAUUAUAUACAUAUGCUUGUUAUUUCCGUGCUUCAUUGGAGAGCAACUUUUCUCUCAUAUUGGUCGCCUCUGGAACUAUUGGGGUUCUGGAUGUUACAAGAUUGUUGGAUGCUAGCAGAGAUCACGAAGAUCUGGACCCAAGUGUUCACUAAAAUAGACACGCUUAAGUGUUAUAAUAUAUUAUAGCUAUUUGGUAAUUAGAAUUUCUCUGUGUUGUAUGCCGAUUAGUGUAGUUACAUAAUAUAUUUGUCACUAGGCUUACAUUUAAUACAUUCGUUUACAUAACCUUCAAGUGCAAUCCGCCAUAAAGAGGAAGUGUAAUUAAACUUUCUACGUCGCUAAUUAAAAUGCUAACUCAUAAGCCGACUAGGCACGAUUCAAAUGCGCAAAUCGGCUGACUUAGAAUUAAAAAUCGACAAGAAUCGAAAGCAACCAAUCAAUUUCUGCAUUUCAUAGACAGGCAAUGUGCGAUUUAUGGCGAGCAGCACGAACGCCGAGACUCAAACGCAGAGCGCAGCGCACAGAACGCACCGUUUGUUGGUUUUGUUGUUACACAUUUGUAAACGCACUCUUCGCGCCCCAACAAUGCCGGCAGGCAGUCCAACAGUCCACUUGAAAGGCUGCCAAUGAUGGGGCUGCUGCUGUUAUGCUGACUUGACUUGACGACCGCUGUUGCGCGAUUCGUUUCUGCUCUCUUCGGCUGCCUUGUUCGCACUCAUUUGGCUGAUGGAUUACUACCAGCGCGCCGAUAUGCUGCUCUUUAUGUUUUACUUUUGCUUUUUCUUGGUUUUGGUUUUUGUUUUUGCUUUUGUCGUUGCUAUAUUUUUUAGCACUCACAUAUCUGUUCGCCUGUGCUGAGUGUGUGCCGCUUUCGGGGGUUCCGCUGUUGCUGCCCCCACUGCUGCUGCUGCUAUGACUGUUGUCGCUCUUGCCGCCCAGCCGACCACACCAUGCCAUCGCACCACUCUUUGCUCUUUACCCGGUGUCGGCUCUGCUUUUGUUUAUAUCUCUGCGCUUGGCGCUUGUGCUUCGUCGACGAUGAAUUCGGUUUCUGCGUUGCUGGUGCUCUACUAUGGUGCGGCGGCGAGUAUGGACAACAGCAGCCAGUGAGCGAUGAGUGGUGAGCAGCGCGAAGCGCGGUGCUGGUGGACAGCAACAACAUACUAGGCACACAAACACACACAUACCGGCACUCAGCCGAGUCACUGUGUGUGGAUUAGCUGAUGGUAUGCGCUGUUGUUGCUGGCAAUGCUUGCUGUUGCUCUUGGUUCGGCGCUGGUCGCUUUGUUGGUUGACUUUUGCUUGCUUUUGCUUUAAUUUUCUGUUGUUUCUACUAAUACCACCACAACAACGAGUACAGCGACGACUACUGGCGCUGUUGCUGGUGCUGCUGCUGCUGCUGAGUGCUUGGGUUGGCCUGACUGACUCGACUUGACUUGGCUUUGGCGCUGGUGUUGGUGUUGGCUGGCUCGUCGUCUGGUCUGCUGUCGGCGCAGACGGUCCGGUCUGCUCUGGUCUCUGGUGUGGUCUGCUCUGCAGUUGCGUUCGCGUUUCGAAAAUAGUUACAAGAUGUUCAUCGAAGUGAAUAGAACGUCUGAACGGGUGUUGGACUAACUAACUAACCAGCCAGCUAGUCAGCGCCAAGCAAACAAACAGUAAGCUGUUAAGUCCGCGUACACCGCCGCGCGUUGCCUUACAAUUGAAGUGUAGUGAAGUGAAAAACUCUCGGCUGUUGCUUUUAUUUUUCUUUUUUUUCGGUGUUGUUUUUGUCGUUCAUUCUUACUUUUACUAUGCGGUUCUGUGUUGAACCAAGUGUCUGCGCCGCUGUGUAAGUGUAUGCGUGCGUGUGUGUAGUGUGGUGUGGUGUGUUGAGUGGGAUCUGCAUUUCAGAGUCACAGAGUCGUCUAUACUGUGCUGUCUGCUGGCCACUCAUUUCAGUUCGGCAGCAACAUCCGCAGCAGCCGAACCAGCGAAUUUCAAAGUCGCCUCUUCAAUUCAACCCCCAACGCAAACGCAGACGGUGCGCUAAUUUUGUGUGUUCGAAACGCCCCUAAGUAAGAACUGGUGCGCUCUAACAUACUUUUGGAAAACAAAAAUAAGCAACACCAAAACGGCUUUAUCAAACAAAAAAACAAUAAAAUUGAUUUUAAUUAAAAACUGCAAUAAGAACACAGAACGACGGAAGUGAAGUGAACAAAAAAAUAAAUAAAUCAACAGAAAAAGUGUUAAAAAGCAAGAAACGAAACAAAAAGUUACAUACAAAACAGCACAAGCAAGAAGUGAAAAUAUAUUUAAAAAAUAACUGCAUUUUAAAAUAUAAAAAAAAUUCUAAAACAAUAGCAGUUCGAAAUCAGUGGAAACUCAAUAAACAAAAAAGUGACUGUGAAACCCAGUUUAAAAUUCUAACAACUUCACAUACAAAAACAACAAAGUGCUAAAAAGUUUGUAAAAAAUAUGCAUGUGAAAUUCAUAUGCUAAAGCAACAACUAUUUUAUGAUGAAACAGUGAAAUAACAGCAUAAAAAUUCAUAUUUUAAAAAGCAGAUUCAAUUUUUGUAAACAAAAUAAAAACAAACGCCAAAUAAACCAAUCGAAGUGCCAAAAGUGUGUGUCAAAACAAAAAGCAAGCAUUAACAAUUCCACGGCAAAUAUUUUCGGAAUUCCGUUUUUAUAAAUAAACAUAUAGAUAUAUCAAUUUGUGCGCAUAGCACACUGACUCACACAUACAUUCGCGUUUAUUGGAGAUAUUACUUUAUUAUAACUGCAUUUAUAUACAUACAUACAUAUAUUUUAUGUAUAAAGUUAUUCAAAUAACGGAUAUAGUCUUUUGUGAGACGAAAAAUUGAAAGAGAACUUUGUUAUAUAC